rnacentral:rRNA from 1 species
UUUAAAGAGAGUUUGAUCCUGGCUCAGGACGAACGCUGGCGGCGUGCCUAAUACAUGCAAGUCGAACGAACGGAGGAAGAGCUUGCUCUUCCAAAGUUAGUGGCGGACGGGUGAGUAACACGUGGGCAACCUGCCUGUAAGUUGGGGAUAACUCCGGGAAACCGGGGCUAAUACCGAAUGAUAAAGUGUGGCGCAUGCCAUGCUUUUGAAAGAUGGUUUCGGCUAUCGCUUACAGAUGGGCCCGCGGUGCAUUAGCUAGUUGGUAGGGUAAUGGCCUACCAAGGCAACGAUGCAUAGCCGACCUGAGAGGGUGAUCGGCCACACUGGGACUGAGACACGGCCCAGACUCCU